rnacentral:misc_RNA from 1 species
CAAGGCUGCCUGCCUCAGCGCUAUCCUACACAUCCCUACUCUCUGUCCACCUACCUGCCGCCCUGCGUGAUUCCUCUGCGAGAUCUUCCUCUUUCACUUAACCUCCCUGGAACCAUGACAACCAUGCUUUGUGCAAGCUGUCAGCACAGCUUCCCAGAGGACAUGCUGGCUCCGGCGUCCUUCAGCACCCGAGUCGGUCGCUACCUGAGCCGCUCAACAUCCCUCUUGUGUGCGACUCGUGGCAAGACCAGCAAAGAUGACCACCGCCUCUCACAGCUCGCGCAGCUGCUCCAGCAGCUCUGCGGCGCCGUGCAGGAGGAGGCACAGCUGCUUCAAGAGCGCCAGAACGACCUCCCAGUGGCCACCUUCUCGUCCUCAACCGGCCGGACAGGACAGCAACAGCAGCAGCCGAAGAGCCGCGGGGGUGCACCGCAUACCGUGUCCUUUGCGUCCCCUAGCGACCGCUGCCGCGGAACCCCCAGCGCGGAGUUGUGCGGCGCAUUGGACGGGACGGGGCGGCUGCCUUAUGUGGGCAUGUCCUCCUCUUCCUUUAGCGUGGCCCCAGUCGCCUCACCGCGUAUCAUAUUCGAGGGCACCGUCCCAUCGUAUCAGCUAAAGCGCAUGAUCACCGCCUUCGACCUCGUCUCUGCCACGCUAUACAACAUGCUCGAGAGUCUCGCGGUGCAGUGCAGGGCGAACGUGGCGCUGUUGUGGCUGCGGCCACGUCAAAACCUCUCCUCGUCAGAGCUGGUCGCGCCGUUUGUAGUUGGGCGCGACCUCUCGUCGCUGGCCAAUUCGGCCCCUUACUGCACCGUCGAGUUCUCCAUUCCCUGCGUGGUAUGCCAGACAGGCGUGGCACUCAACUUGAAACCGCAGCCGCAUCUCCAGAACACAGCGACCCCGUCCGGGGCGGACUCGAUGCUAACGGAGCUGAUGGAGCACACAAACGCCGCGCAGCUGCUGGUGCCGGUGCACGACCGCUACAAGGAGCGGCCUGUCGCGACACGGGCCUCGACAGUGAAUGCGCUAUCAACUAUAGCGGUAGUUCACUUGAUCGGGUCGCCAAUCAACCCCGUUCCUUUCCACCGGCACAACGAGGAGGCGGUCGCGCAAACGUCGACGCUGCUGUCCUUCAUCAUUUCCUCCUACUACGAGACGAUGAUCGCCGAGUGGUCCAAUCGCUUUUACGUGCCAACCACGUUGCACGCCACGGGCAAGUACGCAGCCGGGCUCGAUCUCCGGGCGGAUGACAAAGUGAUAGACGACUUCGCAGCAGCGCCGUUGCUGAUGCUUCGCACCACCGUGAACAAUCUAAGCGGGCACACGAGCGCGAACGAUGCGCGCGAUGCCCUGAAGCUCUUGAGCCAAGACGCGCAGCGGCGGUCCGCCCCGCUUCGUCCCAUGGCGACUGUGAAGGACCUGUUUCAGCACGCCACCGAGAUGGAGACAAACUGGGCGUCGGCAGUGGAGCAAAUAACGCGUCUCGAGCAUACAGUGGACGCGCUCAAGGAAGACCUGCUCCGUCGCGAUAUCAGCGACCUGCAAAAGGCACAAGAUGCGCAGAAGACUCGUGACACGUCAGCGGGGACCCACUCCAGGCUCACCGCUGACAAGAAGUGUGCAGUGCAGCCUCCAUUGGUAGCCGUCGCGGCACCCGUAGAAGAGAAACGAAACUCGCUGAGCAUCGCCGGCAUUAACAUUCCCCUCACGCCACCUGUGCCCUACGCAUCUGAGACGGCCACUACGGCGGCAGUCGCCUUCUCGCCUGCAGCCGAGCCAGUGCCUCCAAGCACCGAGGUACUCAAGGCGGAUGAGGUGGACCUACUGGAGGCGGUCACGCUACGACGUCUGCGGGAACUGGGCGUAGACACGUCGAUGUUUGAGUAGCACAUCGCUGGUAUGCUGCAUGUUCUGGCCUCAUUUGUUUUUCCUCUUCUCUCUGUGCUGCGUGCGUGUGUCUAGGCUGCGGUGCCGGCUCUCGAUGGAGACGGCAGGCUCCCAUGCGGUUCCAGUUCUUCGCGUAUUGUGUUGGCGGCAUGUAUAGGACGUAUGUAAAGCAAUCCACCCAGUGUACGUGCGUGCAUUCUGCGCAUCUGUGUACGCUAUCAUCUCACCUGUGCGUGAGUAUCGUGUGUCCUCUCCUUUCUGUGCAGUUUCCGUGCUGCUCUGGCGGCGUGCGCGUGUGUGUUUCUCUUCCUUGUCUUUCAUCUUCUCUCCGCUCAUGCAAGCGCCAGUGUGUCGGUGCAUGCGCAUGUCGUUGUGUCUCUAUGGCAUGCAUCGUCCUGCGACGCCGGAACGCG